rnacentral:pre_miRNA from 1 species
GGGAGGUGUGAUCCCACACUCGCUGGGAGGUCUGAUCCCAUGCUCCCUGGGAGGUCUGAUCCCCUGCUUUCC